GCUGGAAUUGCUAGUAAUGGCAGGUCAGCAUACUGCCGUGAAUACGUUCCCGGGCCUUGUACACACCGCCCGUCACACCAUGAGAGUUGGAAAUACCCGAAGCCUGUGAGCUAACAGUAAUGAGGCAGCAGUCGAAGGUAGAGCCAAUGAUUGGGGUGAAGUCGUAACAAGGUAGC
rnacentral:rRNA from 1 species